rnacentral:rRNA from 1 species
UACGGAGGGUGCGAGCGUUGUCCGGAAUCACUGGGCGUAAAGGGCGCGUAGGCGGCCUGGCAAGUCGAUGGUGAAAGCCCGAGGCUCAACUUCGGGUCGGCCACUGAUACUGCUGGGCUUGAGUCGACUAGAGGCAGAUGGAAUUCCGGGUGUAGCGGUGGAAUGCGUAGAGAUCCGGAAGAACACCGGUGGCGAAGGCGGUCUGCUGGGGUCGAACUGACGCUGAGGCGCGGACA